AAUGAACGUUGGCGGCGUGGAUUAGGCAUGCAAGUCGUGCGAGAAACCAAUUAGCUUGCUAAUAGGUGGACAGCGGCGAAAGGGAGAGUAACGCGUGGUUACAUGCCCUCGAGACCGGGAUAGUGUUGGGAAACUGGCAGUAAUACCGGAUAACAUCUUCGGAUCAAAUGGUGUGAUUCCGCUCGAGGAUUGGACCGCGUACUAUUAGCUUGUUGGUGAGGUAACGGCUCACCAAGGCUGCGAUGGUUACCGGGUGUGAGAGCAUGGCCCGGCUCACUGGGACUGAGACACUGCCCAGACAUCUACGGAUGGCUGCAGUCGAGAAUCUUCGGCAAUGGACGAAAGUCUGACCGAGCGACGCCGCGUGCGGGAUGAAGGCCCUCGGGUUGUAAACCGCUGUCAGUUAGGAGGAAAUCCAUGAGGGUUCUCUCUCAUGGUUGACCGAUUUUCAGAGGAAGGACGGGCUAAGUUCG
rnacentral:rRNA from 1 species